GAAUACAGUAGGAGCGGAUGGUGCCUGAUAGCAGUUCACAACAGAAGAGACAAUCACCACUGAGUACACCAUCAGAGGAGGAGCUGAUCUUUCAUCCUUUUAAAUGAGCUGAAGAUACAUUCAAUGUGUCAAGAGCUUUACUUCCGGGAGACCAAUAUUUCUUUCUCAUUCAGUUGUUUCAAGCAGGGCUUCCAGUCAAUAUCACUUGAAAAGUAAGACAGCAAUAAACUACCGCUUAACUUGUAAAUCAUAAAGUCUUCCAGCCUAAGGGAUAGUUCUUUGACGACUAAGGAGCAGGAAAAAAAUCUCAGAUUAUUUAUUCUACGGUAAAAACUGAUCUGUAAAGAGAGGUUUCCUGAUCAUGCUUUACUUCUUAAACAGGAAGAUAAAAUGGACACCCCGCUUCACAUUUUGGAUUCCCAAGAGCUGCACACCAGGCGGAUUAGCGCAAGGGGUUCGGGCAGGAAACGAGCCGGCGCCUUUAAGAGGAACCAGCGGUAAUUUUCCACUGCCCCCACCAGCCCCGUCCAAGCGGCAGGCGGCUGGGCGCGGCGGACUGCGGCUGCGCAGAGCGGCGCGCGCCUCCGUUGCCUGGAUACUGCCCCCCCACCCCCGGCGCCCGGGGCUCCCGUGUUUCUAAGAUGGCUUCCCAGUCCUGCUUUAAUGCGUCAGGAACGACGCCAGUUGCACACCCUUGAGGUUAGCAGAAAGCAAGAGCUGUAUGGCUAGUUUUAAACGUGCUCGAUGGCAAUAUUUAUUUGCUAUUAUCACUUUACGAAAAUCCUUUCAGUUAGGCUGUCUGAGUGGGAGAAAAACCAGGGGAAUGCCGCAAGGUGCAUAAGCCAAGGACUCAGCCUUCCCGUGGCAGGGCCUUUGGCUUCAAAAUUGGUGAUCCAUUCGUCGUUUCUAAUAAUAAGAAUUCUGGUUUUUCCUGUUCAACUAGCUCAGGUAGAAAUCUUGAGAUUUAAACUGGACUAUGUAGCUUAACUAUAAAAGCCGUAUCAUUACGUGGAUCAGCGAGGGUAAUGAUGCCCCUGACUGUGUACACUAUCCUUUUAAAAACACCUGUUGAUUUGUCUAUUUUUUCUUUUUCUUGGAAAGUUGUUUUAUACCCAGAUCCGAUCUAAUGGUACUACUAUAAUUUUUAUUAGAUUGUAAAUUCCUUUGGGGAUAGAAACUUUGUUUUAUCCAUCUUUGUAUCCCAGAAGUGUUUCUGCCUGUAACACAUCUUCAAAUAAUGUUGCUAAAUAAUACUGAUUAACAUCUACUGAGGCUUUUCACUAUACCAAGCACUGUGCUUAUGGUAGGUACCCCCAUUUUACAGAUAGAGAAACUAAGGCUCCAGGAGGUUAAGUACUUUCCUAAAGUGUCACAGCGAGUACUUGGAUGGUGGAACCGGAAUUCAAACCGAGGCAGUCUGAGGAGAGCUUUCACUAGGCUGCCGUUGUGCGACACUGUCCCUCUAAAUACUGCAGGGAGUGCAUGAUGUCUUCUAAUUGCAACACUUUCAAGGAGGAAUGUGAAAGUCUCCUUCCCUGCAAUAUGCCUCCCUUUGUUGUGAACAGACUUUUUACAUCUGUAUCAGGUAUUAGUGGCCAGGGCAUUUAGAUGCUUAUUAUCUCUUAGCGGAAAGACCCAAACCUAACCAACCGUGGUGCCAGGUGUUGGAGAAAUAUAAUUAAAAACAGAAUCUCCUGCCAAUCCGAAAAACCUCUCCACAAAAGUAGGUGAAAAAUAAAACAGUUUUAUUAUUGAGUAAGCAUUAAACCAAAAUGUGAUGUGCUUUACCGGCAAUCAGCUAAGAGAUUGCAAAGAAAAAAUUUCACCCUUUUACAUACCUAGGCAGAUAUCUUUUCCCCAAGUAGGAGGACUUGACAGCACUGUUUGUUACACAUUGUUCAUCCAAAAUUCACCUGAUAAUUGGUAGCUGAUAAUCUGUUAGCAAAUUAUCUUAAGCCAAAGGAAAAAUAAACAUACUUUUAUAACAGGAAUUAGGUUUGCAACUUGGCGCAGUGCACUCAGUGGAGUUAGACUUCUACCUUCCCACAGAAACUGGGAAAUAGGGACGCUAUCUUCUGUGCUGAUUACAUUUCAGAGAGACAGCUUCCAGGUCAUUGAGAAAGACAUUCCUGGGUUGUAAAGCUGGCAGGAGGCCUGUUUAGCUUUUAAGAAGAUUUACAUACGUCUCAAAGGGGUAGAGAAAGAAUUUAAAAUUAUAAGUUUUCUAAAAUACAUGCUGAAAGAAAGGGAGGGAGGAGAAUCUUUUCCCCUUUCUGUACUGGGAUAUUUACUUAUUAGAUUUGUAUUUAACCCGACACAAGAUACAGACUCCAGCUCUUUCAAUCAAAGAGUCUGCUUGCAUUAAAUUUUUACCUCUCUGGCCCACCCUUUGCAUGGACAAAAUAAUGAGUCAAAUAUUAGGAAGCCAGAAAUGUGUUACCAUAUGCAGAGGGCUAAAUUCUUUAUUUUGAUUCAAAUUCUUACUUCCUGAUUUCUUUGAAAUUAAACCUAAUUUCUAGCAGAUGCUGAAGAGUUGCAGCAUGCUGCACCAGAUCAAGAGAAUGUGUUCAAGAAAUGCCAAACGGGCAACUGGCUUUAAUGUUCUUUUUAGUUGUGUCUCCACUCUUCAGUCCUCCCUCUUCCAUGCACGGCCUUGGAGAUGCCUAGCAGGAAGGCCCUCUUCUCUUCACUGACCUCCUGAUCUUCAGACGCCCUUGCUUCUAGAAUCCUACCUUAGCUUCUUUGUCAAAAAAGUCAGGCUGCUUGUGGCUACGUGUAUUUGCAUGUGCUGAUACCUGGGGAGACCACCUUCCUCCACCGUUUCUGCUUGCUUGGAUUCACAAGCAAGACAGCUCAGCUAUCCUUUCCUUGUGGAAUCCUUCCCUGACCCACCUCCCUGCUCACUCUCCUGCAUCAUUUGGUCUCCCCUGGGCUCCCAGACCACUUGGUAAUUUCCCCUAUUACAGCACUCACAGAGUUACAUGUGUGUAGUCACGUUUAAU